rnacentral:rRNA from 1 species
CCUACGGGUGGCUGCAGUGGGGAAUAUUGGACAAUGGGCGAAAGCCUGAUCCAGCCAUGCCGCGUGUGUGAAGAAGGCCUUCGGGUUGUAAAGCACUUUCAGUGGGGAAGAAAGCCUUGGGGCUAAUACCCUCGAGGAAGGACAUCACCCACAGAAGAAGCACCGGCUAACUCCGUGCCAGCAGCCGCGGUAAUACGGAGGGUGCGAGCGUUAAUCGGAAUUACUGGGCGUAAAGCGCGCGUAGGCGGUCUGAUAAGCCGGUUGUGAAAGCCCCGGGCUCAACCUGGGAACGGCAUCCGGAACUGUCAGGCUAGAGUGCAGGAGAGGAAGGUAGAAAUCCCGGUGUAGCAGUGAAAUGCGUAGAGAUCGGGAGGAAUACCAGUGGCGAAGGCGGCCUUCUGGACUGACACUGACGCUGAGGUGCGAAAGCGUGGGUAGCAAACAGGAUUAGAUACCCCAGUAGUC